ACGAACGCUGGCGGCGUGCUUAACACAUGCCAGUCGAACGGAAAGGCCCUGCGUUUGUGGGGUGCUCGAGUGGCGAACGGGUGAGUAACACGUGAGUAACCUGCCCUUGACUUUGGGAUAACUUCAGGAAACUGGGGCUAAUACCGGAUAGGAGCUCCUGCUGCAUGGUGGGGGUUGGAAAGUUUCGGCGGUUGGGGAUGGACUCGCGGCUUAUCAGCUUGUUGGUGGGGGAGUGGCUUACCAAGGCUUUGACGGGUAGCCGGCCUGAGAGGGUGACCGGCCACAUUGGGACUGAGAUACGGCCCAGACUCCUACGGGAGGCAGCAGUGGGGAAUAUUGCACAAUGGGCGGAAGCCUGAUGCAGCAACGCCGCGUGCGGGAUGACGGCCUUCGGGUUGUAAACCGCUUUCGCCUGUGACGAAGCGUGAGUGACGGUAAUGGGUAAAGAAGCACCGGCUAACUACGUG
rnacentral:rRNA from 1 species